GAAAAAGAGAACUCCAACAGCUCCCCGUAACUUCCCCAAACUAUUCGCGAUGCCAAAACAAAGUCCGUCACCGCGCGUAUUUGCAGGAUUUUCCCCCUCCCCCAAUCGGUCUUCCCGCAUGCAAGAGAGAGUCUUCCGGUGGCGGGGCGCACACACACCCCAGCCAUUGCGUGCACACCAAGAAGAAUGCCCAUGACAGCACCAAGAAGGUUCUGCUGAACGGGGGAAGCGUCCUCCCUGCCCACGGCGCCUUCCUUCUCCCGAUCCCAAUGGUGUGGCCUCCCUCACCCCCACCUUAUCUAUCAUCAUUGUCUCCCUCACCCCCGCCUUCACUCUCCGCCACGGCAGCACUGUCAAACUUGCUGGUUGCUAAGGCACACCGCUGGUUCUAAUUUCUUUUCCUCUUUCCUGAUUUGUGCUUGCUUGUGUGCCGCUGGUUGUGCUACAAUCUGUGCUUCCUCUUUUGGAUCCGUUCUACUGUGUGGAGAGGAGCUUGUGAUUUGAAUCUUGUGUAAAUCAGAGUAGCAGAGAUUGAGUUUUUGACAAAUAGAAUGGAUAUUGGCUUCUUGUUCUUGGUCUGCUAGGCUCUGAACUUUUCAGUCUCCUGCCUCUAUGUUUCUAGUGCUGGCGACUACUCUUGGAUUGCCUUUUUCAGUUCUGAUUGCAGAUUGCCUUUUUCAGUGCUAGAUCGAAGUCUAUCCUUGCCUGAUAUGCUACAGCUGCAACUUGAAAAUUCAUUUCUCUCUAAUUUGAUUACCUGCUGCUUGUGCUAGUCUUUGUUUUUUAAUUCAUGCCAUUCAGCGACACCGGUCAACAAGGCUUUGAGCAUCAGUUUUAAUUCAUGCCAUUCAGCGACACCGGUCAACAAAGCUUUGAGCAUCAGGUUUCAGGUGUCAUUGAGCAUCAGGUUUCAGGUGUCAUUUUCAAGUUACAGUAAACUGAAUACAUGAGCCAACAAUUGUGCGUGCAUUUGCAUGUGUUGCAACUGCAAGUCUUCAGCUGAGCACUUCUAUUGGUGUUUUGAUGGAAGUUUAUCAGUGCAUGUACAAGCCACCAGUGAUGUGCAAAUGGCUCGUGAUCACGAGGGGGAGGUGCAUGCGUGAGGGGCAUGUGGUCAGCCCAACUAAUGGGCUCAAUUAUGAUGAUGUGGUUUGUUUUAAAUAUUGAGGGCUAGUUAUUAGCGAUCUGCUGUGGGUUGAUAUGUUUUUAAGGAAAAAAUUUUUUAGAAGAACCCCCAAUACAUAGUUUUGGGAAAGAACUAGGUACUAUUGGAGUUGCUCAAGGAGGAAGGAAGAAAUCAAUCUGUUGGAGUUGCUCUUA